UACGGGGGGGGCAAGCGUUUGUUCGGAAUUACUGGGCGUAAAGGGUUCGUAGGUGGCCAACUAAGUCAGACGUGAAAUCCCUCAGCUUAACUGGGGAACUGCGUCUGAUACUGGUUGGCUUGAGUGCAGGAGAGGAAUGCGGAAUUCCAGGUGUAGCGGUGAAAUGCGUAGAGAUCCGGAAGAACACCGGUGGCGAAGGCGGCCUGCUGG
rnacentral:rRNA from 1 species